rnacentral:rRNA from 1 species
AUUGAACGCUGGCGGCAGGCCUAACACAUGCAAGUCGAACGGUAACAGGAAGCAGCUUGCUGCUUCGCUGACGAGUGGCGGACGGGUGAGUAAUGUCUGGGAAGCUGCCUGAUGGAGGGGGAUAACUACUGGAAACGGUAGCUAAUACCGCAUAAUGUCGCAAGACCAAAGAGGGGGACCUUCGGGCCUCUUGCCAUCGGAUGUGCCCAGAUGGGAUUAGCUUGUUGGUGGGGUAACGGCUCACCAAGGCGACGAUCCCUAGCUGGUCUGAGAGGAUGACCAGCCACACUGGGACUGAGACACGGUCCAGACUCCUACGGGAGGCAGCAGUGGGGAAUAUUGCACAAUGGGCGCAAGCCUGAUGCAGCCAUGCCGCGUGUAUGAAGAAGGCCUUCGGGUUGUAAAGUACUUUCAGCGGGGAUGAAGGGAGUAAAGUUAAUACCUUUGCUCAUUGACGUUACCCGCAGAAGAAGCACCGGCUAACUCCGUG